rnacentral:misc_RNA from 1 species
GAGAGAGAGAGAGAGAGAGGUUGAUGUUAAAAAUUUCUUAUCUCCCAUAGUCUUACAGUGUCUUCUGCGACCCCUAGACUUGAUAUGCCCAACUCACCCUUACAUGGAAGAUUCAAAGCUCAUUAGUCAGCAAGUUGAGCUCUGAAAAAGAAAAUACACCUCAAGCAGCAUAUCCAAAUACAUUCAUGAUCUGCAUCAUGAUGACCCAGAAAACUCUUAAAAAUAUCAGUUUAAAUUUAAGUUGCCAUGAACAAUCCUAUCUCAGCUUCCCUAAGCACUAUUCUCCGUCUCUCUCUCAAUCAAGGGAUUUAUUUAAAGGCCAAAACUAAAGGACAAAUCUAUUGUUGUUAAAGGCACGCCUGAGGAGCAAGGCACAGCAGGCGCAAUCCUCAGGGCCUCAGAAGCAAAAGGAUGGCGAUGUUAGCAAGACAUGCCUAAGGUGCGCACCUUGCACCAAGCGCAAGGUGCACCCAAGCAUGCCCCAAGCACAUUUCACUCAUCCUUGUUUCUUUUUUUUAAUUUUAACCUAAUAACAACCACACCCAAUCAUAUCAGCACAACACCCUCUCAUUGGGCAGUCCAUAAACGAAAAAGAAAAAAGUUUUCAAGACAUUAGUAUCUUAAUAGUUUAUUUUUAUUUUAUUU